rnacentral:rRNA from 1 species
GUGCCAGCAGCCGCGGUAACACGUAGGGGGCGAGCGUUGUCCGGAUUUAUUGGGCGUAAAGAGCUCGUAGGCGGCUCGGUAAGUCGACUGUGAAAGCUCCAGGCUCAACCUGGAGAGGCCAGUCGAUACUGCUGUGGCUAGAGUCCGGUAGGGGAGUGUGGAAUUCCUGGUGUAGCGGUGGAAUGCGCAGAUAUCAGGAGGAACACCAAUGGCGAAGGCAGCACUCUGGGCCGGUACUGACGCUGAGGAGCGAAAGCGUGGGUAGCAAACAGGAUUAGAUACCCUUGUAGUCC